rfam:Oryza sativa (indica cultivar-group) chromosome 4, whole genome shotgun sequence.
UUUAAGUGUAGCCAUAAAUUCCCAUGUUCUACUUUAAUCGUUUGUUUUAUUUAAUUUUUUUAUGAUUAGUAUUUUUAUUAUUAUUAGAUGAUAAAACAUUAGCAGUAAUUUAUGCAUGACUUAUGUUUUUUUAUUUUUUUUAAAAAAAAAUUAAAUAAAACGAACGGUUAAAGUUGGACAGGAAAAUAACUCAUGACUGUAUUUAAA